GCGUGGAGCAUGUGGCUUAAUUUGACUCAACGCGGGAAAUCUUACCGGGUCCGGACACACUGAGGAUUGACAGGCAAUAUAUGUGACUCUUCGGAGUUUGCAUUGUUAAAUAUGCUAGUCCUUUCAUGAUUAUGUGAUAGGUGGUGCAUGGCCGUUCUUAGUUCGNGGAGUGAUCUGUCUGCUUAAUUGCGUUUCAAAUUACUUAUAAGGUAGCAAUACGCGAUGAAGCUUUCAAUAGUCCUCACGGAUUCACUUGAGUCUCUCGCUUCGCUAUCCUUUCGAAUGCAACGAACGUGACCGCAACCUCUUGUUGCCUUCGUUUAACAUCCUGCAGCUCGCUGUGGGUACUGAGGGCUUCACUCGGUGACUUUGGGCUGAGCAAUCGGUCUCUUUUGAUCUGAGUAAACUAGAGGGACCGCUGUCAACUUCUUAAACCAGAGGAAGGUUGCGGCAAUAACAGGUCUGUGA
rnacentral:rRNA from 1 species